rnacentral:rRNA from 1 species
UACGUAGGGACCAAGCGUUGUUCGGAUUUACUGGGCGUAAAGGGCGCGUAGGCGGUGCGGUAAGUCACUUGUGAAAUCUCCGAGCUUAACUCGGGACGGCCAAGUGAUACUGCAGUACUAGAGUGCGGAAGGGGCAAUCGGAAUUCUUGGUGUAGCGGUGAAAUGCGUAGAUAUCAAGAGGAACACCUGAGGUGAAGACGGGUUGCUGGGCCGACACGUGACGCUGAUGCGCGAAAGCCAGGGAGCAAACGGG